UGUAGCUUAAUGGAUAGAGCAGUGGGUUUCUACCCCACCGAUGCGGGUUCGAUUCCUGCCG
rnacentral:tRNA from 1 species